rnacentral:tRNA from 1 species
AGCUCCGUAGACCAAUCGGGUAGGAGUCGCCUGACUCAGAAUCAGGACAGUGUGGGUUCGAAUCCCUCCGGAGCUACCA